rnacentral:rRNA from 1 species
CCUACGGGAGGCAGCAGUAGGGAAUCUUCCACAAUGGACGAAAGUCUGAUGGAGCAACGCCGCGUGAGUGAAGAAGGUUCUCGGAUUGUAAAACUCUGUUGUGAGGGAAGAACAAGUAUCGGAGUAACUGCCGGUACCUUGACGGUACCUCAUUAGAAAGCCACGGCUAACUACGUGCCAGCAGCCGCGGUAAU